UACGUAGGGGGCGAGCGUUGUCCGGAUUCAUUGGGCGUAAAGAGCUCGUAGGCGGCCGGUUGCGUCUGCUGUGAAAUCCCGGGGCUUAACCCCGGGCGUGCAGUGGAUACGGGCUGGCUGGAGGCAGGCAGGGGAGAAUGGAAUUCCCGGUGUAGCGGUGAAAUGCGUAGAUAUCAGGAGGAAUACCUAUGGCGAAAGCAGGUAUCUGGGCCAUCACUGACGCUGAGCUGCGAAAGCUAGGGGAGCAAACAGG
rnacentral:rRNA from 1 species